GAUGAACGCUAGCGGAGGCCUAACACAUGCAAGCCGAGCGGUAUUGUUUCUUCGGAAAUGAGAGGAGCGGCGUACGGGUGCGGAACACGUGUGCAACCUGCCUUUAUCUGGGGGAUAGCCUUUCGAAAGGAAGAUUAAUACUCCAUAAUAUAUUGAUUGGCAUCAAUUGAUAUUGAAAGCUCCGGCGGAUAGAGAUGGGCACGCGCAAGAUUAGCUAGUUGGUGAGGUAACGGCUCACCAAGGCAAUGAUCUUUAGGGGGCCUGAGAGGGUGAUCCCCCACACUGGUACUGAGACACGGACCAGACUCCUACGGGAGGCAGCAGUGAGGAAUAUUGGUCAAUGGGUGCAAGCCUGAACCAGCCAUCCCGCGUGAAGGACGACUGCCCUAUGGGUUGUAAACUUCUUUUGUAUAGGGAUAAACCUACCCUCGUGAGGGUAGCUGAAGGUACUAUACGAAUAAGCACCGGCUAACUCCGUG
rnacentral:rRNA from 1 species